UCAGACACUAUCUGCAUUGAUCAAGAACAACACCCUGUGUUAGCCCUGGUAAAUUCUGGUUCAGAAACAAAACCUCAUCAAUCCAGAUCUUGUACACAAACUACAGAUACCUGUUCAGAACCUCCCUGCUCCUGCGCAAGUUUUCGCUCUGGAUGCAAAGAAGCACAUGUCAUCCUGGGACACCCCUGGCUCAAAGCCCACAACCCACACAUCAAUUGGCCUGAUUCCCAUCUCAAAGCCUGGAGUUCACAUUGCCAUAGUUCCUGUCUCCGCUCAGCAGUUUUUUCUGGCACAUUAACCAUGAGUGGAUUUUUACCCUGAAGAUCCAGACCUGGAAUUUCCCAAGCCGAUGGUCCGUGUCCAAGUUUGCAGUACUUCAUUGUGCUUACCCAAUCAAGAGCCUCCUUCAGUUUUCUUGGAACCUGCAU